rnacentral:rRNA from 1 species
UCGGCGGCUACACAUGCAGUCGAGCGGUAACAGAUCCAGCUUGCUGGAUGCUGACGAGCGGCGGACGGGUGAGUAAUGCAUAGGAAUCUGCCCGAUAGUGGGGGAUAACCUGGGGAAACCCAGGCUAAUACCGCAUACGUCCUACGGGAGAAAGGGGGCUCCGGCUCCCGCUAUGGGAUGAGCCUAUGUCGGAUUAGCUAGUUGGUGAGGUAACGGCUCACCAAGGCCACGAUCCGUAGCUGGUCUGAGAGGAUGAUCAGCCACAUCGGGACUGAGACACGGCCCGAACUCCUACGGGAGGCAGCAGUGGGGAAUAUUGGACAAUGGGGGAAACCCUGAUCCAGCCAUGCCGCGUGUGUGAAGAAGGCCCUCGGGUUGUAAAGCACUUUCAGCGAGGAAGAACGCCUAGCGGUUAAUACCCGCUAGGAAAGACAUCACUCGCAGAAGAAGCACCGGCUAACUCCGUGCCAGCAGCCGCGGUAAUACGGAGGGUGCAAGCGUUAAUCGGAAUUACUGGGCGUAAAGCGCGCGUAGGUGGCUUGAUAAGCCGGUUGUGAAAGCCCCGGGCUCAACCUGGGAACGGCAUCCGGAACUGUCAAGCUAGAGUGCAGGAGAGGAAGGUAGAAUUCCCGGUGUAGCGGUGAAAUGCGUAGAGAUCGGGAGGAAUACCAGUGGCGAAGGCGGCCUUCUGGACUGACACUGACACUGAGGUGCGAAAGCGUGGGUAGCAAACAGGAUUAGAUACCCUGGUAGUCCACGCCGUAAACGAUGUCGACCAGCCGUUGGGUGCCUAGCGCACUUUGUGGCGAAGUUAACGCGAUAAGUCGACCGCCUGGGGAGUACGGCCGCAAGGUUAAAACUCAAAUGAAUUGACGGGGGCCCGCACAAGCGGUGGAGCAUGUGGUUUAAUUCGAUGCAACGCGAAAACCUUACCUACUCUUGACAUCCUGCGAAUUUGGUA